UACGUAGGGAGCAAGCGUUGUCCGGAAUCAUUGGGCGUAAAGCGCGCGUAGGUGGCCCCCAUAAAGUCCGCUGUGAAAAGUCAAAGGCUCAACCUUUGAAAGCCGGUGGAUACUGUGGGACUAGAGUACGGAAGAGGCGAGUGGAAUUCCUGGUGUAGCGGUGGAAUGCGCAGAUAUCAAGGAGGAACACCAAUAGCGAAGGCAGCUCGCUGGGACGUUACUGACACUGAGGCGCGAAAAGCGUGGGGGAGCGAACAGG
rnacentral:rRNA from 1 species